rnacentral:rRNA from 1 species
UACGAAGGGGGCUAGCGUUGUUCGGAUUUACUGGGCGUAAAGCGCACGUAGGCGGAUCGUUAAGUCGGGGGUGAAAUCCUGGAGCUCAACUCCAGAACUGCCUUCGAUACUGGCGAUCUUGAGUCCGGAAGAGGUGAGUGGGAACUCCUAGUGUAGAGGUGGAAUUCGUAGAUAUUAGGAAGAACACCAGUGGCGAAGGCGGCUCACUGGUCCGGUACUGGACGCUGAGGCACGAAAGCGUGGGGAGCAAACAGGG